rnacentral:rRNA from 1 species
GACGAACGCUGGCGGCGUGCUUAACACAUGCAAGUCGAACGGAAAGGCCCUGCUUUUUGGGGUGCUCGAGUGGCGAACGGGGGAUUAACACGUUAGUAACCUGCCCCUUACUUUGGGGUGACUUCAGGGAACUGGGGCUAAUACCGGCUAAGAACUUCUGCUGCCUGGUGGGGGUUGGAAAGUUUCGGCGGUUGGGGAUGGACUCGCGGCUUAUCAGCUUGUUGGUGGGGUAGUGGCUUACCAAGGCUUUGACGGGUAGCCGGCCUGAGAGGGUGACCGGCCACAUUGGGACUGAGAUACGGCCCAGACUCCUACGGGAGGCAGCAGUGGGGAAUAUUGCACAAUGGGCGGAAGCCUGAUGCAGCAACGCCGCGUGCGGGAUGACGGCCUUCGGGUUGUAAACCGCUUUCGCCUGUGACGAAGCGUGAGUGACGGUAAUGGGUAAAGAAGCACCGGCUAACUACGUG